rnacentral:lncRNA from 1 species
UGACGCCGCUGGACGCUAGAGGGCGCAGCGCGGAGGGAGUCGCCCGCGACCACCAGCGGAGGAAACGGCACCACCUCGCGCGCAGAAUCCAUUGAUGACCUGAACAAAUGGGCCCUGUUUCUUGUCUCUCCCUUUAUACUUGAAGCAGAACACAUAGCAUUUGUGACAGAGAGCAUUUGGGUACAAGGUGACAGUUUACAGAGACCAUCUUCUGAAACAAGCAAAUUUGAAGUGUCCUGUUUGCUUUUAACCGCUGGAAAGCAGACCCCCCCCACCCCCGGACGAAGUAUCAGUGACAGUGCGGCUUCACUUUGAUCAGAGCACCCAGCGCUACCUGAAGGAGUUCGCAUGGUCUGUGGCUCAGGGACUGCGUUCCUAGAGACAGGAAGCGCACUUAGGUGAGGUCACAGUUGCAGGCUGAGAAACUUGAUCAGGGAUGUGUGUGU